UACGGAGGGUGCGAGCGUUAAUCGGAAUUACUGGGCGUAAAGGGCACGUAGGUGGUUUGGUAAGCAGGAUGUGAAAUCCCCGGGCUCAACCUGGGAACUGCACCCUGAACUGCCUGACUAGAGUACAGUAGAGGGUAGUGGAAUUCCUGGUGUAGCAGUGAAAUGCGUAGAUAUCAGGAGGAACACCGAUGGCGAAGGCAGCUACCUGGACUGAUACUGACACUGAGGUGCGAAAGCGUGGGGAGCAAACAGG
rnacentral:misc_RNA from 1 species